rnacentral:rRNA from 1 species
AAACAUCUAAGUACCCCGAGGAAAAGAAAUCAACCGAGAUUCCCUCAGUAGCGGCGAGCGAACGGGGAUUAGCCCUUAAGCAUCUUGGAAGUUAGUGGAACGGUCCUGGAAAGGCCGGCGAUACAGGGUGAUAGCCCCGUACACGAAAACAACCUUGAUGUGAAAUCGAGUAGGGCGGGACACGUGACAUCCUGUCUGAAUAUGGGGGGACCAUCCUCCAAGGCUAAAUACUCCUGACUGACCGAUAGUGAACCAGUACCGUGAGGGAAAGGCGAAAAGAACCCCUGUGAGGGGAGUGAAAUAGAACCUGAAACCGUGUACGUACAAGCAGUGGGAGCCCUUCGGGGUGACUGCGUACCUUUUGUAUAAUGGGUCAGCGACUUACAUUUUGUAGCGAGGUUAACCGUAUAGGGGAGCCGUAGGGAAACCGAGUCUUAACUGGGCGUCUAGUUGCAAGGUGUAGACCCGAAACCGGGUGAUCUAGCCAUGGGCAGGUUGAAGGUUGAGUAACAUCAACUGGAGGACCGAACCCACUAACGUUGCAAAGUUAGGGGAUGACCUGUGGCUGGGGGUGAAAGGCCAAUCAAACUCGGAGAUAGCUGGUUCUCCCCGAAAGCUAUUUAGGUAGCGCCUCGGACGAAUACUACUGGGGGUAGAGCACUGUUUGGGCUAGGGGGUCAUCCCGACUUACCAACCCCAUGCAAACUCCGAAUACCAGUAAGUAAUAUCCGGGAGACACACGGCGGGUGCUAACGUCCGUCGUGAAGAGGGAAACAACCCAGACCGCCGGCUAAGGUCCCAAAGUUCUGGUUAAGUGGGAAACGAUGUGGGAAGGCUCAGACAGCUAGGAUGUUGGCUUAGAAGCAGCCAUCAUUUAAAGAAAGCGUAAUAGCUCACUAGUCGAGUCGGCCUGCGCGGAAGAUGUAACGGGGCUCAAACCAGGCACCGAAGCCGCGGAUUCACGCUAAGCGUGAGUGGUAGGGGAGC